rnacentral:snoRNA from 1 species
CCCCUCUCAGGGUCGCACCUGGAGACUUUCUAGUAGUCUACCAGUCUCGACUGUGGGAGGGAGAGUCAAGCAGAGGCCUAGCCAUUCCAUUCCUAGCUUGGCCAGUGGCUAGCGAGCGGAAGGCCAUCUGCUACAAAC